rnacentral:rRNA from 1 species
AGAGUUUGAUCCUGGCUCAGAUUGAACGCUGGCGGCAUGCCUUACACAUGCAAGUCGAACGGCAGCACGGGAGCUUGCUCCUGGUGGCGAGUGGCGAACGGGUGAGUAAUAUAUCGGAACGUACCCUAGAGUGGGGGAUAACGCGGCGAAAGUUGCGCUAAUACCGCAUACGAUCUACGGAUGAAAGUGGGGGAUCGCAAGACCUCAUGCUCAUGGAGCGGCCGAUAUCUGAUUAGCUAGUUGGUAGGGUAAAAGCCUACCAAGGCUUCGAUCAGUAGCUGGUCUGAGAGGACGACCAGCCACACUGGAACUGAGACACGGUCCAGACUCCUACGGGAGGCAGCAGUGGGGAAUUUUGGACAAUGGGCGCAAGCCUGAUCCAGCAAUGCCGCGUGAGUGAAGAAGGCCUUCGGGUUGUAAAGCUCUUUUGUCAGGGAAGAAACGGUGGACUCUAAUACAGAUCACUAAUGACGGUACCUGAAGAAUAAGCACCGGCUAACUACGUGCCAGCAGCCGCGGUAAUACGUAGGGUGCAAGCGUUAAUCGGAAUUACUGGGCGUAAAGCGUGCGCAGGCGGUUGCGCAAGACAGAUGUGAAAUCCCCGGGCUCAACCUGGGAAUUGCAUUUGUGACUGCACGGCUAGAGUGUGUCAGAGGGGGGUAGAAUUCCACGUGUAGCAGUGAAAUGCGUAGAGAUGUGGAGGAAUACCGAUGGCGAAGGCAGCCCCCUGGGAUAACACUGACGCUCAUGCACGAAAGCGUGGGGAGCAAACAGGAUUAGAUACCCUGGUAGUCCACGCCCUAAACGAUGUCUACUAGUUGUUGGGUCUUAAUUGACUUAGUAACGCAGCUAACGCGUGAAGUAGACCGCCUGGGGAGUACGGUCGCAAGAUUAAAACACAAAGGAAUUGACGGGGACCCGCACAAGCGGUGGAUGAUGUGGAUUAAUUCGAUGCAACGCGAAAAACCUUACCUGCCCUUGACAUGUACGGAAUCCCUGAGAGAUUAGGGAGUGCUCGAAAGAGAGCCGUAACACAGGUGCUGCAUGGCUGUCGUCAGCUCGUGUCGUGAGAUGUUGGGUUAAGUCCCGCAACGAGCGCAACCCUUGUCAUUAGUUGCUACGAAAGGGCACUCUAAUGAGACUGCCGGUGACAAACCGGAGGAAGGUGGGGAUGACGUCAAGUCCUCAUGGCCCUUAUGGGUAGGGCUUCACACGUCAUACAAUGGUACAUACAGAGGGCCGCCAACCCGCGAGGGGGAGCUAAUCCCAGAAAGUGUAUCGUAGUCCGGAUUGUAGUCUGCAACUCGACUACAUGAAGUUGGAAUCGCUAGUAAUCGCGGAUCAGCAUGUCGCGGUGAAUACGUUCCCGGGUCUUGUACACACCGCCCGUCACACCAUGGGAGCGGGUUUCACCAGAAGUAGGUAGCCUAACCGUAAGGAGGGCGCUUACCACGGUGGGAUUCGUGACUGGGGUGAAGUCGUAACAAGGUA